rnacentral:rRNA from 1 species
UACGUAGGGUGCAAGCGUUGUCCGGAAUUAUUGGGCGUAAAGAGCUCGUAGGCGGUCUGUCACGUCGGCUGUGAAAACCCGGGGCUCAACCCCGGGCCUGCAGUCGAUACGGGCAGACUGGAGUUCGGUAGGGGAGACUGGAAUUCCUGGUGUAGCGGUGAAAUGCGCAGAUAUCAGGAGGAACACCGGUGGCGAAGGCGGGUCUCUGGGCCGAUACUGACGCUGAGGAGCGAAAGCGUGGGGAGCGAACAGG